rnacentral:rRNA from 1 species
GCGUGGGAACGUGCCCUUCAGUUCGGAAUAACCCAGGGAAACUUGGGCUAAUACCGGAUACGUGCGAGAGCAGAAAGAUUUAUCGCUGAAGGAUCGGCCCGCGUCUGAUUAGCUAGUUGGUAGGGUAAUGGCCUACCAAGGCGACGAUCAGUAGCUGGUCUGAGAGGAUGAUCAGCCACAUUGGGACUGAGACACGGCCCAAACUCCUACGGGAGGCAGCAGUGGGGAAUAUUGGACAAUGGGCGCAAGCCUGAUCCAGCCAUGCCGCGUGAGUGAUGAAGGCCUUAGGGUUGUAAAGCUCUUUCGUCCGGGACGAUAAUGACGGUACCGGAAGAAGAAGCCCCGGCUAACUUCGUGCCAGCAGCCGCGGUAAUACGAAGGGGGCUAGCGUUGUUCGGAAUCACUGGGCGUAAAGGGCGCGUAGGCGGCUUUGUAAGUCGGGGGUGAAAGCCUGUGGCUCAACCACAGAAUUGCCUUCGAUACUGCAUGGCUUGAGACCGGAAGAGGUUAGUGGAACUGCGAGUGUAGAGGUGAAAUUCGUAGAUAUUCGCAAGAACACCAGUGGCGAAGGCGGCUGACUGGUCCGGUUCUGACGCUGA